UAGGGAAUCUUCCGCAAUGGACGCAAGUCUGACGGAGCAACGCCGCGUGAGUGAAGAAGGAUUUCGGUUCGUAAAACUCUGUUGUUAGAGAAGAACAGCGCAUAGAGUAACUGUUAUGCGUGUGACGGUAUCUAACCAGAAAGCCACGGCUAACUACGUGCCAGCAGCCGCGGUAAUACGUAGGUGGCAAGCGUUGUCCGGAUUUAUUGGGCGUAAAGCGAGCGCAGGCGGUCAAUUAAGUCUGAUGUGAAAGCCCCCGGCUCAACCGGGGAGGGUCAUUGGAAACUGGUUGACUUGAGUGCAGAAGGGGAGAGUGGAAUUCCAGGUGUAGCGGUGAAAUGCGUAGAUAUAUGGAGGAACACCAGUGGCGAAGGCGACUCUCUGGUCUGUAACUGACGCUGAGGCUCGAAAGCGUGGGUAGCAAACAGG
rnacentral:rRNA from 1 species